AUACAUGUAUAUGCACAUGUACAAGAUGCGCUGCCAUUUCCUCCAAUGUGUUCCCAUGCCCAACCCCUUCCUGUUCCGCACUAGAUUUGAAGGCCUUCGCUCUUUCAUAGAAAUGUAGUAAUAAGACUGCCUGCAUGAAGAUUCGCACAAACCCGCUCGCUCGUCUCAAAGAAGUGAAUAUUGGCCAGCUGAAUACGACUUUAAAGAUAUGUAUGUAUGAUCACUUUGUCUGUCUGUUUGUACUAGUAUGAGUUGGGGGAUAAUUUACUGGAAUCGCCACGGCCGGAUAAUUAGUAACGUACCACCACCGAUUUCAGACGAUGAAAUAAAUGGUUGGAAGCUAAGAGGGGGGCGGGGAGCACGAGGACGAAGGGUUGUAUAUAAUGGAACCUUGGAACAGAGGGGAACCCACGUGAGAUGUACGUAUCAAAGUGGAGAUAACCACGGGGAGAAAAACACCAUAAAUAGGACCGGAAUUGUUUGUUGUGGAGGAACGUCUUGAAGCAAUAGCUCUCACCCAUAUAGUGCUGUUGUAGUGACUCUCUGUGAUGUAUAUGUACUUGUAGCUCAUUUCUUUCGUUAAGUACUUCUAGUCAUCACUUGAAAUUUUCAUUGAUUGUUCAUUAAAUAUUUUGCUUUGUAUAAAGGUCCAAUAGAGGCACAAAUAUAAACAUUUUGUUUACUAUUGAAGUUUAUCACAUUCUUAAUAACUGUUAUUUACAUGUAUAUUAUAUUUAGUUUUAGCCAAAACCUUAUUCAACAUAAAUUAACUUUUCUAAGUGUUUAUUUCAAUAUUGAACUUUUUACUUUUAACCAUUUUAAGUUUGACUGUAUUAAGAGUGUCUUGUCUUUAAUAAAUUGUAAAACUUCGUUAAAUUGUGUACAAUCAAUAAAGUAUAAUGGAUGUUAGUCGCAAGU
rnacentral:sRNA from 1 species